rnacentral:rRNA from 1 species
AAUCAACGCUGGCGGCGUGCCUAACACAUGCAAGUCGAACGCGAAAGCCCCGCAAGGGGCAAGUAGAGUGGCAAACGGGUGAGUAACGCGUGGGUGACCUGCCUUCGAGUGGGGGAUAACGUCUCGAAAGGGACGCUAAUACCGCAUGACAUCUUGCCUUUGAAGAGGUGAUGAUCAAAGCCGGGGUCGCAAGACCUGGCGCUUGAAGAGGGGCCCACGUCCGAUUAGCUAGUUGGUGAGGUAACGGCUCACCAAGGCGACGAUCGGUAGCCGGCCUAAGAGGGUGGACGGCCACACUGGGACUGAGACACGGCCCAGACUCCUACGGGAGGCAGCAGUGGGGAAUUGUUCGCAAUGGGCGCAAGCCUGACGACGCAACGCCGCGUGGAGGAUGAAGAUCUUCGGGUCGUAAACUCCUGUCGAGCGGGACGAAUGAUCCGCGACCGAAUACGUCGCGGGAAUGACGGUAC